GGGGAAUUUGUUGAUGAGUACACAGUGAGGGUGGUUGAUGUGUUUGCGAUGCCGCAGAGCGGGACGGGCGUCAGCGUCGAGGCUGUUGAUCAUGUUUUCCAGACGAACAUGCUUGAUAUGCUAAAGCAGACUGGAAGGCCGGAGAUGGUUGUUGGGUGGUACCACUCACAUCCAGGCUUUGGUUGUUGGCUUUCCGGAGUUGACAUAAAUACGCAGCAGAGUUUUGAAGCUUUGAACCCAAGGGCUGUCGCAGUUGUUGUAGACCCCAUACAGAGUGUCAAGGGGAAGGUUGUUAUCGAUGCCUUCCGUUUGAUUAACCCGCAGACUAUGAUGCUCGGUCAAGAGCCUCGCCAGACUACCUCCAACCUUGGACAUCUCAACAAGCCAUCAAUUCAGGCAUUGAUCCAUGGGCUGAACCGUCACUAUUUUUCUAUUGCCAUCAAUUACCGUAAAAAUGAGCUCGAAGAGAAGAUGCUGCUGAAUCUACAUAAGAAGAAAUGGACUGAUGGGUUGACAUUGAGACGCUUCGAUACCCAUUCUAAAACCAACGAGCAGACAGUGCAGGAGAUGCUGAGUCUAGCCAUCAAAUACAACAAAGCCGUUCAGGAGGAGGAUGAGCUUUCCCCAGAGAAGCUGGCGAUUGCCAAUGUUGGGAGACAAGAUGCGAAGAAACAUUUGGAAGAGCAUGUCUCGAAUCUGAUGUCAUCGAACAUAGUCCAGACCCUCGGAACG
rnacentral:misc_RNA from 1 species